rnacentral:tRNA from 1 species
GGGAAUAUAGUUUUAAAAAAGGUAAAACAUGUAAUUUGCAUUUAUAAGUUAUUGGUUCAAGUCCAAUUAUUUCCA